UUUCCAUGCAUCCUCUGUCCAUUAAUGUGUGAUGCUGGCGAUCCUCUUCAGCUUCGCUUUGACCUGCGUUCUCAUGUGUGCUGUUUUGAUGGUUGUUUUUUCACUCUUCUCCUGUCCUGCAUGCGGAUGUCUGUGUGUUUCUGGUGUUGUUUCUGCUGAGGUUAAUCUGGCAUGUUCUCUCCUCCUGUCCCGUGUCCAGGACCCUGCAGUGGGACUCUGACCCCUCUGUUCUCCAGCUGCAGGCUGACUCUGAGCUCGGACGCCGGUCACACAGAUUGGGACCUUCUAAAAUUACUCAGGUGGACUUCUUGCCCAGAGAAGUGGUUUCCUACUGUAAAGAGACUCAGACACCGAACGCCGCUCAUCACUCUGAAGG